UUGAGCCAACACAUUCAAAACCUAACUCUAACUCGAUAACAGGAGAUCUCAAAAACAAUCACAAAUCAAGUCCUGAAUCCCUCGAAGCAGAGUGAAUCAAAAAGCUUGGAGAUGCAGUCUCCGAUAUUGGUGGCCAAGGUAGGGUGUAUUUGCAUAGUCAAAUACUAAGAAUAAGAGAGGAAGAUUCGCACAUCGGUAGGGUUUGAGCACCAAAGAUAAGCUCUCUGGUGACGGUGUAACUAUCAAUUUGAUCUCUAUUUCUCUGGUAGCUAAGUGGUAUUGAAAAAAAAUUAGGGUUGAGAUUUUAUCCUUGGCUUUCAAUAGUGGACCUGUCAAUUUUGAAUUUUAAAAUUCUGUUAAUUUAUUAUUAUGCAAGUAUGAAUAGGUUUUGUAUGAUUGAAAUGAUUUUAUCGAUGGUUUUCAAUAGUCGACCUGUCAAUUUUGAAUUUUAAAAUUCUUUUGAUUGAUUAUUAUGCAAGUGCGAAUAGGUUUUGUAUGAUUGAAAUUGGGUUUUGCUUUGAUUGCUUUUUUAUUUUUUAUUUUUUUACUAUUGUUUGGCUUCGAAUUCGUUACAUAUUUCAGUUUUAUUUUGACCAUGGAUUGUUGUAUGGUAAGGUUUGGGAUGGAGUGAUAAUUGUUUUUUCUUCAAUUGUUGUCUUCAAUGUUUCUAAUUUAACAAUUUAUUGUUCAUGCAUGUUUGGGGCUUUGGGCUAGAUUUUCAUGAGUAAUUUUUUAUAUUCCCUAAUUAUGUUUUCAAGUUAAGGAUUUUUAAUGAUCCAUGGUUUCAUGGAAGGUCUUUUGUGGAAACCUUUGGGUAGUAUAGAAUGCUUAGCGGUACUGAUUUACAAAGAAAUCAAAUAAUUGAAGACUUAUUGUAAAAUGGUUAGUGGAAUUUCUAUCCCGGCUGGUAGAGAUUUUAGCUGAUCUUUCCAAAUUCAGAGAUCAUUUAAUGGAGGAUUCUGUCGUAUGGAAGUAUGGGAAUUUCAAUUUCAAGGCAGCGUGGAAUUAGUGCAGAGAUUUGGGUACUAGAGUUGAAUUUGGUGUGGAAUUGAUGCUGACCUAAAGUACGAGAAGCUUCUAUGCUGGAUACACACAAUGCUAUUCCUUCAUUUUGCAAUUUAAAAGGAGUGGUUUAGUCUUUCUUUUUAUGUCUUGGAGUAAAUGAAUUUAUGGGCUUAAUUAUGUGAAUGGUUUCCUAAAUAGUAUGCUGUAAAUUUAUUUUUAGGUGUUCCAAUUGUUAUUUGGUGUCAGACUUAACAUAAAAUAUUUGUAGUUUUUGCACAAUCUAUUACGGUAUAUUCCAACAUGAAUGAAUAUUCAAGGCAAAGGAUGUGGGUAAAUUCGUUUAUAGGUGGUUUAAGUGAGUUGUUCUGUAAGAUUGAGCGAAAAAUACUAUUUUUUUCAUUGUUCUUGUAUAUAAUUUUAAUUUCUUUGUGGAAGUUAUAAAAUUUAUUUAAUUGCGUGGAUGACAUCCCCUAUCUCAUUUAUGAUCUUAUUUUUAAAUUAAAAUUUAAGAAUUUCUUCUGCAUUUAAUUUUGAUUAUUUAGAGCACAUUAAAUUGUAUUGAGUACCUCCACUUGUUUAUCGUUCAAUUUAUUAUUUAUAACGGCUUGACCUCAGAUAAUUUAUUCCAUAAGUUAGGCAUCAUUCUCAUUUAAAGGUCGUCCAAUUGUUUGUAUAUGGCAGACACGAGCUUAAAAUGUGUAUACUUUUUUAGUUUUCUAUUUUUAAUUUUGGGUCUAGAGUAAAUGAUUAUUAGGAUUGUAAUUGAAUGUUUGGAAUGAGGCUAUUGAAUAUAUAAAGAGAUGUAUUGAUAUAGAUAUAUGUGUUUGCAGGUGGUCCAAGUGUUCAUUAGUAUAAGAUUAAGCUAAUAUUUUUUAUUUACAUUGUUAGUUUUUAGUAAAUGAAAGUAAAUUUUUUCCUCUCCACUUUCUUUGCGAUGUCAACUUGCGUUGGCGGACUUUUUUCUAGGCAUAUUGUUUGGCAAAACUUGAGGAGGCUUUGCAUGGUUUGUGACUAAUUCAAAAGAAUCACACAGGGGAGUAAAGUUCAUAAGAUGGUAAUGUGAUUAUUUGGAAUAUCUGAAGGGAGAGUAAUCUUAGAUUACAUGAGGAUCAAAUAAGGUCUACUAGCUACUGAUGUAUAUUUAGAAGCACUACUCUGUAUGGGGCUUGAGGAUAUGGAGCUGCUUUGAAUUUCUUAAUUCUGUUGUAUUUAUCCCUUUGGUUAGUUUUUUAAAAAUAUUGGUAGUUUAUGUUUUGUAAAAUUUUUCUUA